GGGAGUAUGUAUUUCAGAACUUGAAAUUUACUUGCUCAGAACCAUCUAAAUCCAAGAUCUAUGGUUGAAUAUGGUGGAUAAGCCCAUAUAUAUACACGUGAAGAACUAGAGUGUCUAUAACACCAUAACCAGCAAUGACAGCUUUUUAAAAGGUGGACAUCAUUGAACAGAAUCAACACAUUCUUCUAAUACCAUGUCUAUGCUUUCAAGUAUUUACAAAAGCAAUGCAG